CAAGUCGAACGGCAGCGGAAGAAAGCUUGCUUUCUUGCCGGCGAGUGGCGGACGGGUGAGUAACGCGUAGGAAUCUACCCAGUAGUGGGGGACAACCCGGGGAAACUCGGGCUAAUACCGCAUACGCCCCUUAAUCUUGGUUGAUUUUGGGGGAAAGCGGGGGACCGUAAGGCCUCGCGCUAUUGGAUGAGCCUGCGUCAGAUUAGCUAGUUGGCAGGGUAAUGGCCUACCAAGGCGACGAUCUGUAGCUGGUCUGAGAGGACGAUCAGCCACACUGGGACUGAGACACGGCCCAGACUCCUACGGGAGGCAGCAGUGGGGAAUAUUGGACAAUGGGCGAAAGCCUGAUCCAGCAAUGCCGCGUGUGUGAAGAAGGCCUUCGGGUUGUAAAGCACUUUCAGUGGGAAAGAAAAAACUAAAGCGAAUACCUUUAGUCUUGACGUUACCCACAGAAGAAGCACCGGCUAACUCUGUGCCAGCAGCCGCGGUAAUACAGAGGGUGCAAGCGUUAAUCGGAAUUACUGGGCGUAAAGCGCGCGUAGGUGGAUACUUAAGUCGGAUGUGAAAGCCCUGGGCUUAACCUGGGAACGGCACUCGAUACUGGGUAUCUAGAGUAUAGUAGAGGGAAGUGGAAUUUCCGGUGUAGCGGUGAAAUGCGUAGAUAUCGGAAGGAACACCAGUGGCGAAGGCGGCUUCCUGGACUAAUACUGACACUGAGGCGCGAAAGCGUGGGGAGCAAACAGGAUUAGAUACCCUGGUAGUCCACGCUGUCAACGAUGAGAACUAGCUGUUGGGAGGGUUGCCUCUUAGUAGCGAAGCUAACGCGUUAAGUUCUCCGCCUGGGGAGUACGGCCGCAAGGUUAAAACUCAAAGGAAUUGACGG
rnacentral:rRNA from 1 species